GAUGUUGGGUUAAGUCCCGCAACGAGCGCAACCCUUGUCCCAUGUUGCCAGCGGGUAAUGCCGGGGACUCGUGGGAGACUGCCGGGGUCAACUCGGAGGAAGGUGGGGAUGACGUCAAGUCAUCAUGCCCCUUAUGCCCAGGGCUUCACACAUGCUACAAUGGCCAGUACAGAGGGUUGCGAAACCGUGAGGUGGAGCGAAUCCC
rnacentral:rRNA from 1 species